UAUGCAACGAAAAUAUUGUCUGCUACGAGAGUGCAUUGUAGUUGCAUUGCAUGAAUAUUUGAAAGUGCAGUACUUCUGCAGUGCAACCCUUGUGGUUGGCG